GACGAACGCUGGCGGCGUGCUUAACACAUGCAAGUCGAACGGAAAGGCCCUGCUUUUGUGGGGUGCUAGAGUGGCGAACGGGUGAGUAACACGUGAGUAACCUGCCCUUGACUUUGGGAUAACUACAGGAAACUGGGGCUAAUACCGGAUAGGAGCUCCUGCUGCAUGGUGGGGGUUGGAAAGUUUCGGCGGUUGGGGAUGGACUCGCGGCUUAUCAGCUUGUUGGUGGGGUAGUGGCUUACCAAGGCUUUGACGGGUAGUCGGCCUGGGAGGGUGACCGGCCACAUUGGGACUGAGAUACGGCCCAGACUCCUACGGGAGGCAGCAGUGGGGAAUAUUGCACAAUGGGCGGAAGCCUGAUGCAGCAACGCCGCGUGCGGGAUGACGGCCUUCGGGUUGUAAACCGCUUUCGCCUGUGACGAAGCGUGAGUGACGGUAAUGGGUAAAGAAGCACCGGCUAACUACGUG
rnacentral:rRNA from 1 species